AGAGUUUGAUCAUGGCUCAGAACGAACGCUGGCGGCAGGCUUAACACAUGCAAGUCGAGCGCUGUAGCAAUACAGAGCGGCAGACGGGUGAGUAACGCGUGGGGAAUCUACCCAUCUCUACGGAAUGACUCAGGGAAACCCGGAUUAAUACCGCAUGAUCUCGCAAGAGCAAAGAGGGGGACCGCAAGGUCUCUCGCUUUUGGAGGAACCUACGUCGGAUUAGCUAGUUGGUGAGGUAAUGGCUCACCAAGGCGACGAUCCGUAACUGGUCUGAGAGGAUGAUCAGUCACACCGGAACUGAGACACGGUCCGGACUCCUACGGGAGGCAGCAGUGGGGUAUAUUGGACAAUGGGCGAAAGCCUGAUCCAGCAAUACCGCGUGUGUGAAGAAGGCCUUCGGGUUGUAAAGCACUUUAAGUUGGGAAGAAAAAGCUUCACCUAAUACGUGAAGCCUUGACGGUACCGACAGAAUAAGCACCGGCUAACUCUGUG
rnacentral:rRNA from 1 species